rnacentral:rRNA from 1 species
GAUGAACGCUGGCGGCGUGCCUAAUACAUGCAAGUCGAGCGAACAGACGAGGAGCUUGCUCCUCUGACGUUAGCGGCGGACGGGUGAGUAACACGUGGAUAACCUACCUAUAAGACUGGGAUAACUUCGGGAAACCGGAGCUAAUACCGGAUAAUAUAUUGAACCGCAUGGUUCAAUAGUGAAAGACGGUUUUGCUGUCACUUAUAGAUGUAUCCGCGCCGCAUUAGCUAGUUGGUAAGGUAACGGCCUACCAAGGCAACGAUGCAUAGCCGACCUGAGAGGGUGGACGGCCACAGUGGGACUGAGACACGGUCCAGACUCCUACGGGAGGCAGCAGUAGGGAAUCUUCCGCAAUGGGCGAAAGCCUGACGGAGCAACGCCGCGUGAGUGAUGAAGGUCUUCGGAUCGUAAAACUCUGUUAUUAGGGAAGAACAAAUGUGUAAGUAACUAUGCACGUCUUGACGGUACCUAAUCAGAAAGCCACGGCUAACUACGUG